UACGGAGGAUCCAAGCGUUAUCCGGGUUUAUUGGGUUUAAAGGGUGCGUAGGUGGCCUGUUAAGUCAGGGGUGAAAGACGGUAGCUUAACUAUCGCAGUGCCCUUGAUACUGAUGGGCUUGAAUGAACUAGAGGUAGGCGGAAUGUACAAGUAGCGGUGAAAUGCAUAGAUAUGUCACAGAACACCAAUUGCGAAGGCAGCUUACUAUGGUUUUAUUGACACUGAGGCACGAAAGCGUGGGGAUCAAACAGG
rnacentral:rRNA from 1 species